rnacentral:rRNA from 1 species
AAAUAAUUUAUUAUGUUAUGGGAGUAGGCGAUUAGGAUAAAAUUAUACUUAAGAGUGAGUAAGAAAAUUAAGAUAGUUGAUAUUUAGCAAUGAGAAAGAUAAAUUUAAUCUAAGUGGUUCUAAUAUUUUUUGUAAAAUACAGGUGCCAGUAUUCACGGUUAUACCUGAGAAAAGUGUUUAUUAAUUUAGUGGUAGUUUAGUGGAGAGAUUUAAUUGAUAUGAAGUGUGGUAAAAUAAGUUCUUCAUAUUUUUAAUUUAAGUAAGGUAAUCCUGAUUGACGAACCAGAUUAGGUACCUGGGUAGUAGGUUAUAAUGUGGAUAAGUUUUAAGUGAAAUAAAGUUAAAUAAUUAGGCGGUUCUGUUUAUAUAGGGGAGCUUGUUAUUUUGCCGAUAAUCCGCGUUUAAUGUUUUGUGAAAAAGAAUUAGUGUAUGUCCAUUUAUUAAACAACUAAUAAUUAGUAUGUUUAAGUAUUUUAGGUCGCCAUGCUUUGUUUUAUGAAUUUAUGAGCUACAAUAUAUAUUAUGUGUGAGAAAUAAAAUGAGAUUUUUUUUAUUUAAUGGGACUUAUUAGUAAAUAAAAAAUAAAAUGUUUUAUUGAAGAGAUUAAGCAGGGAGCACUCACCGCCCGCCACCUAAUUAGUAACUGUUAGUAAGGCGUAACAAGGUAGUUUUUCUAGAAGGAUAAACUGGAUUUAUUAAUU